rnacentral:tRNA from 1 species
AGCCCUGUGGUGUAGCGGUCAAGCAUAAGGGACUCUGGAUCCCUUAACCUCGGUUCGAAUCCGAGCAGGGCUA